UUAAUCAGUUUUAGCUGGGUAUUUAAUAAAACAAGCCCAGCCCCUUUAAAAAAUCAUUUUCGCAGCCCACAGAAUUCCACAGCAGCAGCCCACAAAAGGAACAGGCCCAGCCUUUGAACACUGCAGCCCAACAACUCCUCUUGGCCCAAAACCCAAUUUUCAGCAGCAAGGGUUUGAGAAAAGGAUUUGCAGCAGCAGCUGCCGCCUCCUUUCUCGUCACCACGCCCGGAGCCCUGGAGCCACGCCGCCGCCGCUCGAAGCCACGAUGCAGACGACGUCGCGCGACCUCGUAAGCGGCGACGUCUCCAGACGCUUGCCUGCGUCCUCACCGUUUCUCGGCCAUUCCGGCGGAAGGAGCAUGAAGCUCCUCGUCGCUGUUUACAGCCGCGGAUCCGCCGCCUCCAGCGUGCAAGACCUCCACCAACAGUCGCCCUCCAUUUUUUGGACUCCAAGCCCGAGAUGGCGGGACUGCCACAGGGAUGCAGCAGCGCGUCGGCUUGAAGCCACGACGCAGCUGCCGGCUGGUGGUCGGGCGCUGCACACCGGCGAGCCCCGAGCCACCGUCGCCGCCUCGUCCAUGAAGGUGGUCGGCUCAGAUCCGGCGAGUGUGAAACGAAUAUUGCCCA